GGUGUCGAUGAUGCGUUUUACCUACAUUGCUUGAUGCUCCCUGAGAAAACUGUCAGCACUGAGACACCC